AGUCUGGCUCAUUAUUUUCAUCUGUGGUAGUGUGUGUUAGCAAUAUUCUCCUCGGGCUGUUUAAAUUGUAGCUAAGUAGGUUAUUAAUGAAAGGUUCAUCAGAGUUGAUAUGAGACGCACUUCUUUGUCAAAGACAAGCGAAGCUAUUUUCGAAGUUGAUACUGACUGUCAAGGUUUAGGAGACACUUCAUCUACACUCUGAUGCAUUUGUGACUUAGUCAACGGUGAGACUGCUUAAUCCUCCGGUCAGUCGCCCUCCCUUGUCAUCUGUGUUGCUGUUGCCCUGUGUUCCACACCAUGGUACGCCACAGUAAGCUGCAGAAACAGGUGUUGUCUCUGUACCGCCAGUUCCUGCGUGCUGGCCAGGACAAGCCAGGCUUUCUGCCCAGGAUCCAGGAUGAGUUCCGAGAGAACUCCAGCAUCAAGAAGACUGAUGUUAUGCACAUAGAAUACCUUUACCGGCGCGGACAGAGACAGCUAGACCAGCUGAAAGAUGUGAACACAAAGCAACUAGGAACUUUCUCCAAACCUAAGGCAGAGCGAUAACCAACACUAUUUCCGUCUCCACACCCUCUGUUGUAGCUACCUCUAGUUAUGUGGAUAAUACACCGUUAUCCAUUAUGUGUUACAUUCAUCAUUCAUUAGUCAGAUUACUACUUUCAAUCUGCAGCUGAGUAUGUGCAGUCAUUGUCCUAAGCAAUGGCCAUUGUUCUGAACUGUAUGACAGUACCAAUGUACUGUACUCUGUCAUAGAGCUGGAUACCACUGAUGAUGAUGAUGAUGAUGAUGAUAAAUGUUUAAGUCAAUCUCUGGCCAGUGAGUUUGUUGGGUUGAGCAGACCAGUUGCUCUGGUCAUUGUUGUAAAAUACUUACUUUCAUCUAGCUACAUUUACCUGUUGAGUGUUUUGGAUUAAAGACUUUAUCAUCAGUAUGGGAAGUGAAUUUGACUAUUAUGUAAAAGGUCUAGUUAAUACUAUUAUAUGCUUACGUGUCACAGGAGGUCAAGUUAUGGGAUCUUAUAUUUUUAUAAUACUUUUCAAAAUUAAAAUGGUGGACUUUUUUACUGCAUUGUUAGAGGUCGUAACAUAAGCAUUUUUCUGCACCAGCUAUAACAUCUGAUAAACUGUGUAUGCGACCAAUACAUUUUGAUUUGAUUUAAUGCUCAUGAAAUAUACAGUCAAUUAGAAAUGCCUGAGUAAUUUUGACAUUGCCAAAUCUAAUGAUCCAAUCCCAAAUUGAAAAUAGAUUUAAAAUAGAGCCGUGACUACAUGGAUCUCUCUGCCACCCCAGGUAACUCAAGCUAGCAAUAAAACCAAUUUCAAAAAACGGAUAAAAGAAUACCUUACUGCACAAAGGGGACUGUGAAGAGACACAGACAUUUUAUAUAUAAUGUAUUGUAAUUUGCACUGUACUAAGAUAUAUUGUGUGUAUGUACUGAUUAUGUAUGUUGGCCAUAUACCACACCUCCUCGGGUCUUAUCAAGUACCCCUGACUGCAGUGUGCAGUUUGGGGUGAGGAUCAAUGUGGGCGGAGUCAAACAUUUGACCCCGCCCACCACCUUUUUUUUAUGUCCGCCACAGGUUUGACAGUCACACACUGAAUACGAACACACACGUUUGUGCAAGGAACAUGUUGAAUACAAACAUAUUUCCUUUUUGAAGAUUGUAAGAAAUAUUAUAUAAAGUGGUACCAGCACAUAUGUUGUAACACUUUUUGCUUCAUGCUAUAUUUGAGACAAGCUACUGAUAUUGUUGCAGUGAACAACAGACUUGUUAUGUAUGUCAUGUCCUGUUAAAUUUGUGUUGAUAAAUGUUAUAACUUUGUAAUUAUAUUAUUUGAGAAUAAAUAUACAGUUACUACCUA